rnacentral:lncRNA from 1 species
GGAGAAAGAGUACUACACUGCGCCGAGACUUCAAACUACUCAGUUUUAACCAUGGUAAUAUGGUCCAAAAUUAUUGGUUGAUAGAGAAUCAAAGUGGAUUUACCAAUGAAUCACGAAAUGCUAUGGUUCUAAAAUAUUAUUUCUUAAUUAAUUCAGAAGUAAUUCGCGGGCUCAUGCACCCUUUUUUCCCAGUUACAACGAAAAAAGUACAGUUGGUUGUAUCCAACCUAUUCUUGAAAUAAACAACUCGCACACACUCCCU